rnacentral:tRNA from 1 species
GUGGCUGUAGUUCAGUUGGUCAGAGCGUCAGAUUGUGGUUCUGAAUGUCGUGGGUUCGAGUCCCAUCUGCCACC